ensembl:lncRNA
CUGCUCUAGACCUCCCGAAGUCCACAACCAGUUCCUUAGUCUUUGAGGUGUUGAGUUGCAGGUGGUUUGUGUGACUCCAUGCGACAAAGUUCCUCACCAGACUUCUGUACUCCUCUUCCUGAUCAUCCCAGAUACACCCCAUGAUGGCUGUGUCGUCUGCAAACUUCUGAAUGUGGCAUAAUUCAGAGUUGUAGCAGAAGUCAGAGGUGUACAGGGUGAAGAGAAGAGGGGACAGCACAGUUCCCUGUGGUGCUCCUGUGCUGCUGACCACUGUGUCAGACGUGAUGUCCUUCAGCCUGACGUACUGUUGUCUGUCGGUGAGGUAGUCGGAGAUCCAAGCCACCAGGCAAUAUAACUUUUACUCGAUAGAGAAAUUAAGCUAUCGCGAUAGACCUCGCCGCUCUUGUCCUCUUAAAAAAAAAAAAAAAAAGGUCAGCCAAUCCAAAUCAAGUAGCGCAGAGCCGAACCAAUCACAGCCGCAGCGUCACGUUGCGUGACUUGUUACGUACAGCACAAGUGCCAAGCCGCAUGUGUGUUUGUUUGGGAAGCAGCCAGCGAGUAAUGGAGGAAAUGAGUGUGCCGACUAGAAAAAUCAACCAAGCGUGACCGAAGAGAAAACAGAUGAUGGUUCCAAUGCCGGAGAGAUUGUCGAACGGAAGAGCCAUAGAUGUUCCGUAGUGUGAAGGUAUUUCGGCUAUUUCAAGUCUGACAAAAAACAGAGUAGCGUGCACUGUAAAUUAUGCCGAAAGCAAGUCUGGAAAUACUAUAAACUGGUGCAUGCGUCACACUGUGCGCCACGUUAUUGUUUCGGUGAAAUUAAUUUCUACAAUACUGUUAAUUCUACUCUCUGCAGUGUUUAAAUGCUUACAUAUACACACAGUUACUGUCCGUCCACACAUACGACUGGGUUCUGCUUCUAUGCCCCAGCUUUGUUUACUUUUUCCCACCGAGGCUUCUAGACUUCUGAUUGGCCAACAUUUCUGCACGGUUAGGAAUAUAGCGCCACCUGCUGCUUUGGCAUGUUCAUAGCA